UACAGAGGUGGCAAGCGUUGUUCGGAAUUACUGGGCGUAAAGGGCGCGUAGGCGGUCUUGUAAGUCUUGUGUGAAAUCCCUCGGCUUAACUGAGGAACUGCACGGGAUACUGCGAGACUUGAGUUCGGGAGAGGGAAGCGGAAUUCCGGGUGUAGCGGUGAAAUGCGUAGAUAUCCGGAGGAACACCGGUGGCGAAGGCGGCAUCCUGGACCGGCAUUGGACGCGUGAGGCGCGAAAGCUAGGGGAGCAAACGGGGAUUAAGAAACCCC
rnacentral:rRNA from 1 species